UAUACCCUCUCCCCCGUGUUUUCUUUUUCUUCUCUUGCACUUUUCUUAUUCGUUCUUCCAAUUUUUACAAAGUCUCCCGUGUUCCUCUUUCAGCUUUCUCCUUUGGUUUGCAAACUUCAUUUGUUCCUCUGUUCUCUCUUUCAGCUUUCUCCUUUGGUUUUCAAAAUUCAUUUGUUCCUCUUCACAACAGAAAGUUAUUGGAGUUGGUUGAGUACAUAAAGAAUUGUUGACGUCGAAAUUCUUCAACAAAUCAGGUGUUGAAAAUUAAAAGAUUGCAAUCGUGAUAGAGUUCGAGGGGUGAAAGAUAGAAAUUGAAAAUUUUGAUAGUUAUGCCUACAUGAUAGGGAUUGAAAGAUUGUAGGCAUCUUAGUGUCAACGUAAUAUUUUACCUUCGUAAAGUGGUAAAAU